ACGCUCGACACCUACGGGAGGCAGCAGUGAGGGAUAUUGGUCAAUGGGGGGAAACCCUGAACCAGCAACGCCGCGUGAGGGAUGACGGCCUGGUUGUAAACCUCUGUCCUCUGUGAAGAUAAUGACGGUAGCAGAGGAGGAAGCUCCGGCUAACUACGUGUCAGCAGCCGCGGUAAUCUGAGGCGGGCUGGCAAGGC
rnacentral:rRNA from 1 species